CCGAGUUAGGGUUGCCUUCUAGGUGCCCGACCUCCCAACCCUUUGUCUAUGAUACCACAGUUGCUUCGGCGGACCGAGGGGUCAUACCCUCGCCUGGUCGACCUGGCCGGGAGAGUUUGUCCGUCGACGGCCUCAACUUAACACUUGAACCCAAAACCUGUCGUCUGAAAACAUUUUAUGAUUUACAAUCAAAAACA
rnacentral:misc_RNA from 1 species